UAGUGUUACAGAUCUUUGAGAUUUGUCUAGCAGGUUUUCUGGUUGUUACCCAAAAGCCAUC
rnacentral:snRNA from 1 species